rnacentral:rRNA from 1 species
CACGUAGGGGGCAAGCGUUGUCCGGAUUUAUUGGGCGUAAAGAGCUCGUAGGUGGUUCAGUAAGUCAGGUGUGAAACCUCCAGGCUCAACCUGGAGACGCCACUUGAUACUGCUGUGACUGGAGUCCGGUAGGGGAGCGUGGAAUUCCUGGUGUAGCGGUGAAAUGCGCAGAUAUCAGGAGGAACACCAGCGGCGAAGGCGGCGCUCUGGGCCGGUACUGACACUGAGGAACGAAAGCGUGGGGAGCGAACAGG